ensembl:lncRNA
GCAGCUCCGGGGAUAGAAAACAAGUGUAAACACAUAGAUUUCACUCCCCACGAGCGGUCCGUAGUUUGGGGUAGAAAAGAUCUUUUUCUUUCGAUAAGAGCGCAUUUCUAGCGUAGGUUGGGAAGCCGACACUCCCCGGUAACUGGCAGGGGGAGGCGGUUUGCGGGACGCUGCCGGGGGGCGCUGAGCUUUGUGCCAACCUCUCCCAGCGUCCGGCCAGCCAGGAGAAAGCUGCGAAUGCAGGAGGGGAUGAAGGCGGAGAAUGGGUGAGGAAGGAAGGGGCUGGGAAAUGGGAAGAGGUCGUUCUGCCCCCGAAACUACAUAAUGGCUGGGAAGGACCGCCAAACAAGACUGGAACCAGUAGGAAGUUGUACGGUAUGAAGAAACAGGCCCAAGGAAGCUUCCAGAUUUUGUCAGAUGGUAGAUUCCAAGUCUCCAACUUCUACUGCUGCUUGGUGCUGUCUAACCGUCCCUUAAUGGCACAGAUUCACUGGACAGCAACUAUACAGUUCAGUUGUGUUGGAGGACCUCACCAUCAGGUCUCGCUCCCUCUUAGUAAGUGUCAAGAGAGACCAAGGCCACUGUUGCUUCUUCCAAAUUCCAUUUUAUAAGGACUCUCAAUUUUAAAGUUGAGAAGAUGGAUCAUAUGCCUAUCUGCUUCCAGUGUCCUCUUGCUUCCAGGCUGAAGGAGCUGUGUUCUCCAGGACAUAUGAGGAAACUGAAGCUAAGACAGUGUGGUUGGAGGAAUGAAUGGCCCCCAAAGAAGUUUACAGUCUCAUUUCCAGAACUGUGAUUAUGGUUUCUAACAAGGGAAUUAUUGACAUCAUCUACAAGGCAUAUUAACCAUGAAGAAAGACAGAUUUCAACUGUACGUCCUCUUUCUGCAGAGACUGAAGAAGAGAGUUCCAUGGACCCCAGCUUCAAAAAACAUGACUCUACAGUGUGAAAUAAUUGAGGGUAAGCACUGCGAAUUUUUUUUUUUUUGGGGGGGGGCCACACCCACAGGAAUGUGGAAAAUCUCAGGCUAGGGGUUAAAUCGAAGCUGCAACUGCCAGCCUACACUAUAGCCAUAGCAACUUGGGAUCCAAGCUGGGUCUGUGACCUACACCACAGCUCAUAGCAACGCUGGAUCCCCAACCCCACUGAGUGGAGCCAGAAAUGGAACCCAGAUCUUCAUGGAUAUUAGCCAGAUUCAUUUUCACUGUGCUGCAACGGGAACUCCAGCACUGUGAAUUUGGGACAUGAUGUCUCCCACACUGAGUAGAUAGUCCUGUACAUAUUGAGUCCUGAAAACACUGAAUGAAUGAAUCAAAUAGCCUUUUUUGGAGAUCCACUGUACUGGUAGUAUGCUAUGUGUUUUAUGUAUGUUCUUUCAUUCUUCUAAUGUUGUUCUAUGGCUGAGGAAACUGAAGCUAACUAGAAGUAAAAGAAGCUGAAGAUCUAGAAUUGACAAGCAUAGAAAGGAGAUAUGACUAGAUCUGAAGUUCAAGGGGAGGACUCCUGCAUGAGCAGGGCCUUAGUCUGGGUGUUGAGACAUGUUGUGAGAUUCACCAUCAUGGCUCAGCUGGUCCUAGUUCCAGGCCCAGCUGUGGGGGGCCAU